UACGAAGGGGGCUAGCGUUGUUCGGAAUUACUGGGCGUAAAGCGCGUGUAGGCGGCUGCCAAAGUCGGGUGUGAAAGCCUUGAGCUCAACUCAAGAAUGGCACUCGAUACUUGGUGGCUAGAGGACCGGAGAGGAUAGUGGAAUUCCCAGUGUAGUGGUGAAAUUCGUAGAGAUUGGGAAGAACACCAGUGGCGAAGGCGGCUAUCUGGACGGUUUCUGACGCUAAGACGCGAAAGCGUGGGGAGCGAACAGG
rnacentral:rRNA from 1 species